rnacentral:rRNA from 1 species
UACAGAGGGUGCAAGCGUUAAUCGGAAUUACUGGGCGUAAAGCGCGCGUAGGCGGCUUGACAAGUCGAGUGUGAAAUCCCCGGGCUUAACCUGGGACCUGCAAUCGAAACUGUCUUGCUAGAGUAUGGGAGAGGGAAGUGGAAUUUCAGGUGUAGCGGUGAAAUGCGUAGAUAUCUGAAGGAACAUCAGUGGCGAAAGCGACUUCCUGGACCAAUACUGACGCUCAGGUGCGAAAGCGUGGGGAGCAAACAGG